rnacentral:rRNA from 1 species
GGUGGUGCAUGGCCGUUCUUAGUUCGUGGAGUGAUUUGUCUGGUUUAUUCCGAUAACGAACGAGACUCUAACCUGCUAACUAGUUGGCCGAUAGCCUCGUCGGCGUGACUUCUUAGAGGGAUCAGUGGUGUUUCAGCCACACGAGAUUGAGCAAUAACAGGUCUGUGAUGCCCUUAGAUGUUCGGGGCUGCACGCGCGCUACACUGGAGAGAUCAGCGUGUUGCAUGCUUCCUUGGCCGAAAGGCCUCGGUAAUCCAUUGAAAACUUUCCGUGAUCGGGAUAGGGGAUUGCAAUUAUUUCCCUUCAACGAGGAAUUCCCAGUAAGUGUGAGUCAUCAGCUCACGUUGAUUACGUCCCUUGCCUUUGUA